rnacentral:rRNA from 1 species
CCUACGGGGGGCUGCAAUUAGGAAUCUUGCGCAAUGGGGGCAACCCUGACGCAGCGACGCCGCGUGCGGGAUGACGGCAUUCGUGUCGUAAACCGCUUUUGAUGGGGAAGAAGAAUGUGACGGUACCCAUCGAAUAAGCCCCGGCUAACUACGUGCCAGCAGCCGCGGUAAUACGUAGGGGGCGAGCGUUGUCCGAAGUUACUGGGCGUAAAGCGCGCGUAGGCGGCUUUCUAAGUCUGGUGUGAAAGGUUCAGGGCUCAACCCGAACAGUGCACUGGAUACUGGGGAGCUUGAGUGCGGGAGAGGAGAGUGGAAUUCCUGGUGUAGCGGUGAAAUGCGUAGAUAUCAGGAGGAACACCCGUGGCGAAGGCGGCUCUCUGGCCUGCAACUGACGCUGAGGCGCGAAAGCGUGGGGAGCGAACGGGAUUAGAUACCCCGGU